UCUUGUGUCUAAGUACGAUAGCAUUCCUAAACCCUGGACAAAGGAACAGGAUACCAGAGGGCAACAGCUGCCACAAGAGCUGUGAUGAAAUAAAGCAACACCUUGAACUGAAAUAAGUUUGCCAUAAACUGAGAAGUUUACCAUGGAUUGGAAUCACACCCUACUCAAGUACAUCUGCACUGUGAUUCCAGUUUUACAGAUGAAGAAACUGAGGCAUGGAUAGGUUAACUGGCCUUCCCAACAGCACACAGGUACCCCAUGGCAAAAUGAGGACUAAAAUCUCAAUCUCUGACUCCCGAUCAGGUGUUUUAGCCACAAAAGAAGGUUCAUUUGAAUUUUAAUUAAAUGUAUUGAGCCUCCUAAAUUUACAACAUUAAAAAGGAAAAAUUACAGGAAUGGA